CAGCAGCCGCGGUAAUACGUAGGGGGCGAGCGUUGUCCGGAAUUAUUGGGCGUAAAGGGCGCGCAGGCGGUCUUCUAAGUCUGAUGUGAAAUCUCGUAGCUUAACUACGAGCGGUCAUUGGAAACUGGGAGACUUGAGUACAGAAGAGGAGAGUGGAAUUCCACGUGUAGCGGUGAAAUGCGUAGAUAUGUGGAGGAACACCAGUGGCGAAGGCGGCUCUCUGGUCUGUAACUGACGCUGAGGUGCGAAAGCGUGGGUAGCGAACAGGAUUAGAUACCCUGGUAGUCCACGCCGUAAACGAUGAGUGCUAGGUGUUAGGGGGUUUCCGCCCCUUAGUGCUGCAGUUAACGCAUUAAGCACUCCGCCUGGGGAGUACGGCCGCAAGGCUGAAACUCAAAAGAAUUGACGGGGGCCCGCACAAGCGGUGGAGCAUGUGGUUUAAUUCGAAGCUACGCGAAGAACCUUACCAGGUCUUGACAUCCCUCUGGCCGCUAUAGAGAUAUAGCUUUCCCUUCGGGGACAGAGGUGACAGGAGGUGCAUGGCC
rnacentral:rRNA from 1 species